UACGAAGGGGGCUAGCGUUGCUCGGAAUCACUGGGCGUAAAGCGCACGUAGGCGGCUUUUUAAGUCAGGGGUGAAAUCCUGGAGCUCAACUCCAGAACUGCCUUUGAUACUGGCGACCUUGAGUCCGGGAGAGGUGAGUGGAACUGCGAGUGUAGAGGUGAAAUUCGUAGAUAUUCGCAAGAACACCAGUGGCGAAGGCGGCUCACUGGCCCGGUACUGACGCUGAGGUGCGAAAGCGUGGGGAGCAAACAGG
rnacentral:rRNA from 1 species